rnacentral:rRNA from 1 species
CCUACGGGGGGCAGCAGUGAGGAAUAUUGGUCAAUGGGCGUAAGCCUGAACCAGCCAAGUCGCGUGAGGGAUGAAGGUUCUAUGGAUCGUAAACCUCUUUUAUAAGGGAAUAAAGUGUGGGACGUGUCCUGUUUUGUAUGUACCUUAUGAAUAAGGAUCGGCUAACUCCGUGCCAGCAGCCGCGGUAAUACGGAGGAUCCGAGCGUUAUCCGGAUUUAUUGGGUUUAAAGGGUGCGUAGGCGGCCUUUUAAGUCAGCGGUGAAAGUCUGUGGCUCAACCAUAGAAUUGACGUUGAAACUGGGAGGCUUGAGGAUGUUUGAGGCAGGCGGAAUGCGUGGUGGAGCGGUGAAAUGCUUAGAUAUCACGCAGAACCCCGAUUGCGAAGGCAGCCUGCCAAGCCAUGACUGACGCUGAUGCACGAAAGCGUGGGGAUCAAACAGGAUUAGAUACCCGAGUAGUC